rnacentral:lncRNA from 1 species
AUGGGAUCUUAUGGUUCCUUCCAAAUUCUGACUAGUGUAAGAAAGGAAAAUGUGAAACCCGUCGCUGGGCGGAGUGAGAACGAACAAGUGGCUUUGUACAUAAAAAAAAAAAAAAAAAAAGAAGAAGAAGAAGCUAAAAAUAGGCUCCCCACAAGCCUGCACUUCCUGGUGAGCGCAGGGCUGUGGCGGCUGGGGCAGCCGGAGCCAUGGGCCGCCUGUGUCGGCCUCGAGAAGCCCCCUCCUGACCCGGGGACACCGAGGGGACAGGCGAGGGGCCAGCAGAGCAGCAUCUGUUCCUGUCCACGAAUGUAGAAGGAGCUGAGCUGGCUCAGCAGAAACUGAAACCCAGCCUAAUCCCGUGCUAUAAUAAGAGCUUAAUGGCAUCAUUGUCCGUGGGCACUUCGGCAGCAAACUAAGAAAACAAAAAUACAUCGGUACGAAAAAAACAGAGUGCAGGGAAAGCGUCGACGGCCGUUUUGGGGCCCGCUCUGGCGGGACGGCUGCUUCCUGCCAAAGCUCUUUAUCAGCUUUCGGCCGGCCGGCCCGCAGCGUCCUCCUGUCCUUUCACCCCGCGCCUCCCCACUUACAUAACUGACUUAGGCAUUACCUCCCCUGCUCUCCUUGCUCUGUCUUUAGCACCUCGGCAUCACUUGGGCCCUGCGUUUCUUCUGGUAACAACUUUCCCUGCAGUUCUGCUCCUUAGGUGAGGCUGGGAGCGGGUAGAAGCAGAGAUAGUAGCUUUAAGUUGUUGCACGUUGAAUUUUUCAAUCUAUUUAAUUGCCUAAACCCAGUGGAAUUAUUUACCAAAAAUAGAUGGAGAGUAACAUUUCUAAUUAAAAAAAGUCCCCGUAGCUUUCGAACUCUCGAAACUUUCUCCAGCCAGAAACUGAAAGUAGAAUGGAUUUAUUUAUUUAUUUAUUUUACAUUAUUAUCAGACCGAGAGAAAUGCAGAGAUUAGCAGAGCAUAAACAGAAGGAUGUGAAGUUGGCCUCAAGUGCACUAAUGAUCUGAGCAGCCAAUUUGGCUCGCGGGAGAGUUGUGACUGAGCCUGAAGAUCCACACUUAGGGUUUCAAUUUGUCAAAUAAAAAUAAAGCAGGGAAGGUGAUUUUCUAGAAA